UACGUAGGGUGCAAGCGUUGUCCGGAAUUAUUGGGCGUAAAGAGCUCGUAGGCGGUCUGUCGCGUCGGAUGUGAAAAUCAGGGCUCAACCCUGGACCUGCAUUCGAUACGGGCAGACUAGAGUUCGGUAGGGGAGACUGGAAUUCCUGGUGUAGCGGUGAAAUGCGCAGAUAUCAGGAGGAACACCGGUGGCGAAGGCGGGUCUCUGGGCCGAUACUGACACUGAGGAGCGAAAGCGUGGGGAGCGAACAGG
rnacentral:rRNA from 1 species